AUGAUAAAACAAAGUAAAAAAAGAAAAAAUGAGUUCGACGGUUCGAUCGAAACGAAUAAAGGAAUAAAUAAAAAGUUUGAUAAAGAUAUAAUUUAUGAACAAAUACAUUCUUUACCAACACAAAAUAAUCCUAGAUGUUUAGUCAGUUCAAAUCCAAAAGACAAUUUGUUAAAUUAUUUUUCUACAAUAAUAAAAUUUAAAUAUAAUGAUAACAAUUUUAAAAAAAAAUGGUAUACACAUUUGUACAAAAUAUGUCUCCAAAAUGAUAAUAAACAUACAACUUAUGAUAAAAACAUUAAAAAUCAUAAACACAAAAAUAAAAAUAAAAACGCAUAUACAACAUAUGAAAACAAUAUAGAUAAUACAUUAAACAAAUUUCAAGGAUUGGUAGUUAGAAAAUUAAAUUGUGAAACUUUAUAUUAUCAAAAAAUUUUAGUAAUUUUUGCUUUAUUAUUCGAUUUAUACCACAAUAAAAAAAAUGUUGUAUCUACACAAAAAAAAUUAUUAACAUGGGACGAAAAAUCAUUAAUGUUAGAUGAAGGUACUAACAAUAUAUAUGAUGAACGGACUACCAACAAUGGACAAAAUGCAGAUAACAAGUCGAUAUGCAAUAAUACCAGUAAUAAUACCACUAAUAAUACCAGUAAUAAUACCACUAAUAAUACCACUAAUAAUACCACUAAUAAUACCAGUAAUAAUACUAGUAAUAAUAAUAAUAAUAAUACCACCAUAGGAAAACUAAUUCAACCUAGUAUUUUUGGAAAUAAUAUUACUAGUGGUAAUCAGAACCCUUUUAACAAAACAGGUGACAUGUUUUCUACGAACAAUAACUUGAAGAAUAAUACCAAUAUAAGUACUACUGUUAAUAUGGGGAUAACAGGAUUAAAUAAUAACAAUAGUAGUAAUACAUUUUUUGGAUUUGGUAACAAUAAUAUAUUAGGUGUCCAAAAUAAUAAUAAUAAUACAAACAUAAAUACAACAGACACAGGAAAUAAUAACAAAACAAACGAAUUAAACAAAAGUACGAUCAAUUUAUUUGGUUCUACAAAUAGACCAACUAAUAAUCCUAAUUAUGCCGAAUUAUUCACUAAUGAAACAGGAUCAAAAGAAUUAUUUAAAGACCUAAAACUUAGUAACGAUACAGGUUCUAAAUUUAGUGUUAAUAAAAGACCUUUAUUUGGUAGUAGAGCCAAAGAAACGAAUAUGUUAGUAUCUAAUAGUGCUACUACUAAUCUUGCUAGUAGAACUACUGACUUAAAUAGUACAAAUAAUAUCUUUAGUUCUUCUUAUGUAAAUAGAGACAAUUUAUUAACUAGUCAGGAAAAACCUAUGAAAGUUAUAUUUGGUCAACACAAUAAUACUACCACUAACAAUAACAACGUUUCUAAUACUGGCAUAGGUAGUAGAAAUAAAACUACUGGUUUUGGUAUAACAUCAGGUAGUUCCAUAUUUGGUGCAACAUCUAAUAAUAUGGCAAACAAUAACAAUCUUAUGAAUUCUUUAACAAAUAAUGUUGUUAAGGGUGGUAUAUUUAAUCAAGAAAACAACAGUAACAACAACGGCAGUGGCAUUAUUAGUGAUAAUAAUAAUAAUAAUAAUGUCAUUGCACAAUCAGAAACAAAUAAAUUCACUUUUAAUGCAUCUUCAACUAGUAAUUUAUUUGGAAACAGUAUGAAUAUGUUUGGAAAAAAUAAUAAAGAAACUACUGAUGGUAGUACUACUAAUACUAUUAACAAUCAUUUGACACUUUUUGGAAAUAAUACAAAAAAUAAUUUAUUGGAUACAAAUAACACCGAUAGUUCACUAACCACAAGUGGUAAUAAUCUAUUUCGUAAUUUAAAUAAUAAUACUACAACAAACCAAAUAAAUAAUGCAUCAGUUUUAAAUAUACCAACAAAAAAAUUAACCUUAGAAGAAAGAAAAAAAAAAAACUGCUAAAAAUAAAAGUAUUGUUUCAUUAUUUUCA
ensembl:lncRNA